UCUCAUGGAAAUGUUUCAUGAAAACGUUUUGAUAAUGUUUUUGAAACGUUUUUUGAACGUUAUUUUGAAACGUUGUGAAAACGUUUCGAGUAACGUUAUUAAAACGUUAUCAAGAAACAAAAUCCAAACUUCUACACACCAACGUUUUAGAAACGUUAUUGAAACAUUGGCGAAGGUUUUCCUAAAGUUUGAUUGAAACCAAAUCACAACGUUAUAAGAUCGUUAGUGGAACAUUUUGAGGUUACAUUUUCCUGAUAAGAAUGUCUCCGUUCACUACAGGAAUGUACAUUAACUUGAAAAUAAUGGUCAUGAAAUUACACCUGUACAAAAAUAUUUGUGAGAAAACUUGAAAACUGUUGUGAACAUUUUGUCAAGUGGAAUAGUAUGUCAUGUGUUUCAUUACUAUCAUUUAUUUCUGUACCGUACUGUUUACUACAGAUCCAACAUUGUAUUGUAAAUAUUAUCCCCGUUUACUGCCGUGCGUUUAAGUUCAGCCUUUUCUGCGUGGACAACUUGCUAUCUUUUGUAUGGUGUCAGCUUACAGGAAUGUUCCCAGAUACUUUAUCAGGUCAGAGCAGGAACCCGGGCAUUCAAAAUCGGACUCUGUACAUAGCAGGCGGGAAGUUCCAUCACAUUGCUGGAUGUAGAAGACGGUACAUUUUACUCUAGUGACAAGACGACAGUUUUCUAAAAGGAGAAGCCAACACAGACGCAAGAAAAGCCCGAUGGCAAAGGUGACUGAUUAUCUUCCAUAUGUAUUGAUGAAAUGAAGUAUUCUUUAAAACA